AUUGAACGCUGGCGGCAUGCUUUACACAUGCGAGUCGAACGGUAACAGGCCUUCGGGUGCUGACGAGUGGCGAACGGGUGAGUAAUGCAUCGGAACGUACCCAGAGGUGGGGGAUAACGCAGCGAAAGCUGUGCUAAUACCGCAUGUGAUCUGAGGAUGAAAGCGGGGGACCGAGCAGCAAUGUUUGGCCUCGCGCCUUUGGAGCGGCCGAUGUCGGAUUAGCUAGUUGGUGGGGUAAAGGCCUACCAAGGCGACGAUCCGUAGCUGGUCUGAGAGGACGACCAGCCACACUGGGACUGAGACGCGGCCCAGACUCGUACGGGAGGCAGCAGUGGGGAAUUUUGGACAAUGGGCGCAAGCCUGAUCCAGCAAGGCCGCGUGCGGGAAGAAGGCCUUCGGGUUGUAAACCGCUUUUGGCAGGAACGAAACGGUGUCCGCUAAUACCGGGCGCUAAUGACGGUACCUGCUGAAUAAGCACCGGCUAACUACGU
rnacentral:rRNA from 1 species